GAUUUGAAAACAAUUAAAAAAACAGAAGCCCUUUUUAAGGCCAGACGUAAUGAUGAUUUAUCAAUAUUCUAAAGCUAACAACUUUAAAGUCCAGAUAUAUGUUUUAAUACCCUACUCAACACCUUUUAAUUUAUGCCAAGAGAUUUAUUAUUUUUUUCCAUAGUACGUUGAGCGAAAAGAAAAUGCGAAAGACAAAUGCAAUUAUGCGACGCUUGGAAUUUUCCGUUUGUGCCGAACAAACAAAGGCGGAAAAUCCGGAAAAGCCAGAAUGGGAGACUAUGGGUUGUGUGCUCCGACACUUUUCGUUGCCUAGUUAUUGGAGCACAAGCACAAGUUGAUUAGGGAAACGCAGCGGACAUAUGGAAUGUGGCAUACAGAACGUUUACACACAGAGCACCGCCGCCGCAAACAAGCUGUUGGCUUGGAUUAGACUCCACAUCUACAUCCUGCAUUCGUCCAGUUCGCCAGCACUUUUCAAAGUCGCUUGUGUUUGGCGGAGCGGAGAAGAGAAAGCAGGGAAAGUUUUCGGCCUGGUUGAACCCGGACAGUCGAAAAAAGCAAGUCAAGGUGAGCUAUGACGAUGAUAAUGUGACGAUGUGCAAGGAGAAAAUAUAUAACACAAAUUGGCUAUUGUUUGCUGUGGGUUAAGCUAUCAGAAUAGUUAUAUUCAAGGCAUAAUAAAGUGGCUUUUUAAAAAAAUGUUGAACAAUAAUAAACAAUAGAUGUAAUAGAUGAAAGUGCAACAUGAGAACUUCUUUUAAGGGCUCACAAUGUAUUUUUUUAAAUUACUUUAAAUGUGUUAUAUCUAAUAUCCAAGAAACAAGUUGAGAUUUUAGAUAAUGCAAUAGAAUUGGUAAAAUAUAAUAACAACUACUUUUGAUCAUAGCAAAAUAUAUAUAUUUUUGGAUGAAAUUUUUUAUAGCACAAAAGAAGAGAAGGAACGUUUUCAGAGACAUAACUUUUCGGUUUUAGUUUUAAUAAAUAUUUCCCAAAAAAAAAAAAUAUGAAAUCUCUGCGGAUGACUUGUUGAAAUUGUUGGUGUCAUUAUCAUUUCUGAUUUAUUUGCAUAAAUUUGGCAAGCACAUCAGAGGUUAACCCGUUUAGCACUUAAUCAUAUGCAAUGACAAUUUGAAUGCACAGGGACAGCAAAAGGCGAAUGGCUAUGAAAAUUGAAAAGCGCAUUUUAUUAUGGCAAACACGUACGGGAACAGAGCAAAUACAAAUUCCACAGCAGAGACAGCUCUCCGGCAGAAACAACAAUCAGGCAGGAAAAAUAUUUACUGCGUGCGCACCAAAGUAUGCAGCAAGAAAAAUCACAAACGCAGGAUAACGACAAAGGACAUACAUCGGGGUGAAAAGAAGGGGGGCAGGAAAGCAGGAAAGCAGGACGAUGACAAUGUUGAAAAUGACAACUUGGCAACAAUUAUAUUCCAGAACGAGUGUGUGUGUGUUGGCCCGCAUAUGAACAAGAAAAUGGAAACAACAAUGUCAACAGGAUCAACAUGGCGUAUGAGCAACGUUCAAUUGAAAACCCAUUUCGAUUCAAGUAGCACGACAAUACGAUAGACUGUGCUCCAGCACCGCCAUCAAUGUUUUUCCCUCAUUCAUUGGUAGAUUGUGCAGGAAAUUGAGGUAAUUAAACGCUCGAAGAAUCUCUCUCCCGGAAAAUGAAAAACUUUGAGUCCUUUAAUCAGCUCAAAGCAAAAGUUACCUACCUGCAAUACAUUUCUGUUUUGUUUUUUUUUUUUUGUUUUUAGCAGAUCGCGGUGUGCCAGAUGCCAACUACUUAAGUGCUCUGCAUACACAAAUAUGUAUAUAAAAAGUGUUUUAAAUAUAAUUUUGGCCACCCACUGUGGAGCUGCUGCCAUCUCGAGGAUAAAAAAUUCCAUAACUUGCUA